UCCUACGGGAGGCAGCAGUGGGGAAUAUUGCACAAUGGGGGAAACCCUGAUGCAGCGACGCCGCGUGAGUGAAGAAGUAUUUCGGUAUGUAAAGCUCUAUCAGCAGGGAAGAAAAUGACGGUACCUGACUAAGAAGCCCCGGCUAACUACGUGCCAGCAGCCGCGGUA
rnacentral:rRNA from 1 species